UAUCUAUUUAGAAGACACUCUCUAAUAAGCUGUGGAGAGCAGAGAAGAUCUCACAGGUCCAACUUCAACACCAACCAUGUUCUCUACAUCCCUACUGCUCCUGCUGGCAGCUGCAUCCUGUGUUCACUGUGUUGAACUGACUCAGCCUGGUUCCAUGGUGGUCCGUCCAGGCCAGAGUCUGACCAUCGACUGCAAGGUUUCGUAUUCAGUUACGGGCUAUAGCACAGCUUGGGUCCGACAGCCUGCAGGAAAAGCUCUGGAGUACAUUGGAUAUAUCUAUAGUGGUGGGAGCACAUAUUACAGUGAUAAACUGAAAAGCAAGUUCAGCUUCUCCAGAAACACUGGAACCAACACAAUAACAUUACGAGGACAGAAUCUGCAGACUGAAGACACAGCUGUGUAUUACUGUGCGAGAGACUCACAGUGA